rnacentral:rRNA from 1 species
GCUUGUCUCAAAGAUUAAGCCAUGCAUGUCUAAGUAUAAACGAAUUUAUACUGUGAAACUGCGAAUGGCUCAUUACAUCAGUUAUAGUUUAUUUGAUGGUCCUUGCUACUUGGAUAACCGUAGUAAUUCUAGAGCUAAUACAUGCAUAAAACCCUAACUUCUGGAAAGGGUGUAUUUAUUAGAUUGAAACCAAUGCGGGGUAACCCGGUGUUUGGUGAUUCAUAAUAACUUUCGGAUCGCAUUUGCGAUGCAUCAUUCAAGUUUCUGCCCUAUCAGCUUUGGAUGGUAGGGUAUUGGCCUACCAUGGCAUUAACGGGUAACGGAGGAUUUGGGUUCGAUUCCGGAGAGGGAGCCUGAGAAAUGGCUACCACAUCCAAGGAAGGCAGCAGG